rnacentral:misc_RNA from 1 species
GGUAGUCAAGGUUCCUGAUGCUGUUGAUGGAGCAGCUGGCAAGGAGCCGGUGGUUGAGGUGCCUAUUGCCGCUGCUGCUGGUGCGGCUGAUGGGGUUGAGGAGAUUGGGGCCGUUCCAGGGGCUGAUGAAGAGGGUUCAGCUGCCAGAGAUGGGGUUGAGAAGAUUGGCGCUGUUGAAGAAAGUUCGGGGGCUGUUGAGGCGGCUGAUGGGGCUGAGAAUUUUGGAACGGUCUCCGAAGCCGUUGAUGAAGAUUCGGAGGUUGCUUCAUCUAAGGCUGUUGAGAUGGAGAAGAUUGGGGCGGUCUCAGAUGCUGUUGGGGCAGUCUCGGAGGUGGUUUCAUCUGAAGCAGUUGAG